GACGAACGCUGGCGGCGUGCUUAACACAUGCCAGUCGAACGGAAAGGCCCUGCUUUUGUGGGGUGCUCGAGUGGCGAACGGGUGAGUAACACGUGUGUAACCUGCCCUUGACUUUGGGAUAACUUCAGGAAACUGGGGCUAAUACCGGAUAGGAGCUCCUGCUGCAUGGUGGGGGUUGGAAAGUUUCGGCGGUUGGGGAUGGACUCGCGGCUUAUCAGCUUGUUGGUGGGGUAGUGGCUUACCAAGGCUUUGACGGGUAGCCGGCCUGAGAGGGUGACCGGCCACAUUGGGACUGAGAUACGGCCCAGACUCCUACGGGAGGCAGCAGUGGGGAAUAUUGCACAAUGGGCGGAAGCCUGAUGCAGCAACGCCGCGUGCGGGAUGACGGCCUUCGGGUUGUAAACCGCUUUCGCCUGUGACGAAGCGUGAGUGACGGUAAUGGGUAAAGAAGCACCGGCUAACUACGUG
rnacentral:rRNA from 1 species